GUCACCGGCGGUAGUCGGAUCAUGACAUGACCUCUGGACAGAAGCACGACUUGGCAAAUAAAAUGCUCAGACAAGUAGCUUACGGGGAGAGCAGAGCUCCCAGUCCGUCACCAGCUCAAGAAGACUACUAGCUAGUGUCAGUCAUGAUGACAUCCCACUCAUCAGUAUUAGUAGCAGGACUAGUGUGUCUCAGUGCGGCGGUGGUCGUGCCAAUGCCAUGGCUAGCCGCCGGGGAGAGUAGUAUUGGUGGUGCGGAGUGCAAAAGAUCAUGCGGCGGCGUGGAGAUCCUCAGCAUCUCUCCGGAGCAAGGUGAAGCCAAGGUGCUCCUCCCUAUCUCUUCUUACUGCUACGACUCUGCGUCUCGGACGAUGGUGGCCGACGAGUGGCACUGGUCCUUGGGCGCCAAUUACCGUUUCUCCAGCACGGCCAACAAGUUCACGGUGGUAGGGUGCCGGGCGCUGGCGUACAUCGGUGACACCAGGAAGAAGAGGAACAACGUUGCUGAGAAUAACUACCUGACCGGGUGCGUGUCCACGUGCUUCAACCGCACGAUCUCCCUAAACACUUGCUCCGGGAUGGGAUGCUGCCAGACGGUCAUCCCCAACGGUCCGCCGUAUUUCCAUGUGUGGUUCGACGCCGGCUUCAUGGACAUCUCUGGGAUCGACGGCGGCGCGGACUUAUUUGGUCGCUGCAGUUUCGCGGUGCUCAUGGACUCGUCCAACUUCACGUCGUGGACCUCUAGCUCCAGCAACAUCUCGUCGCCGGAGUUCGUCAACAAUGUUAGCUCGCUGUUGCAGUUCUUCAACAGCUCCCGUGGUGGAAAGGCGCCGGUGGUCCUUGACUGGUCCAUCGGGGAGGACGACUGCAAGAACCCUGCAGGAUACGCGUGCCGCAGCGUCAACAGCUUCUGCUCAAGCGCAGCCAGCGGACGGGGCUACAUCUGUAAGUGCAACCAAGGUUUCGACGGCAACCCUUACCUUCCUAACGGCUGCCAAGCGCUGUUCCGUCGGCGUUCCGAUGAUGCCGUAGGCGACCUGAGCCUGUGGUUCCCUUUCCGACUGGGACAUUUGGGGGACAUUGUUGGAGCGACGGCUCGGGGAGUCACCGGCCUUUUUUUUCCUGGCUGGUUUACUGAGCAAGAAGAAGAAGAAGAAGUUGUUGAAGAAGGGAUACCACCCACCUCUGAUCCUCAGGCAGACAAUUGCUUUUAUUUUGAUAUCUGCGGAUCCGAGCAAGACACCUCUGAUAACAAAGAGCAAGAAGAAGAAGAAGAAGUUGUUGAAGAAGGGAUACCACCCACCUCUGAUCCUCAGGCAGACAAUUGCUUUUAUUUUGAUAUCUGCGGAUCCGAGCAAGACACCUCUGAUAACAAAGGGAGGUAUCAAUUUUUCAACUGUAUGCACUCAAAUCUUUUUGAAGAAUAUAAGUUCUUCCCCAAGUAUCCUGAUAAGCAGCUUAAGAUAGCAGCUAUUCUGUUUGCAAGUAUGCCCAAGAGGUCAAGUCUGCAAUUCUGAAUGGCAACUCUAAUUUCCUAGAAACCUCAGAUUCUGAAAUUGAUAAACUGUCCUUGGGGUAUUCUGAUUUGCUGGUGUAGUUAUUGGACUCUGAAUCAUGCACAAAAGCUAAGUGCAGCUGAUUGAUGCAGUUAAAGAGCUGGACGAAUAGAUGAGAUGGAGAAGAAGCAGGUUGAACUUCCUCUGAAGCAACUGGAAACCAUCUUGACAUAAUAAAACCAAGCUCUAAUAUCAUUGUAACAAUCUAUGAAACCCAGAAGAUGCAGAUCAUGUGCCUGGGCAUGAAGCUGAUGCUGCCGGAGUCUCAUAACCAGCCGCUCGAAGCAGCAGCAGCAGCAGAGAUCCGCUGAGCAAGACAACCACGAUUAGCAGAAGUCCAAAGAGAUGAUCAAAUGUAAUUCUCCCUCCCUGCAACAAAGCCACUUUAGUUGCCAUCAUCAGCAAAAAUGAAAUCUGAGCACUACACAAUAUUGUAUUAGGAACAGCUCAUGAUGAGCUCUGGAAGGAAGAAGACGACGAUUAGGACUACCACUACUGAACCAUCGAUCGCCAGCUGCAUACGUUUGCUGAUUUCUCUUUAACAGCCAUGUCUACCUCCUAUCUGACGAGCUCUCUAAAGGCAUUCAGUUCAGCACUCAUGUUUCAAGGGCCUUUUGUGCUUUGCUUCUUUAUAAUA